UAAUUCGACACAUGAGAGGCACGAGAGUUACAGACACCGGGUACAUUUCUGAGUAUUUUACAUUAAAUUUCUUUUUCUUUGGCUUCAACCAACGGUUUGAUCAUGAUGAAAUUUUCUAUUCUCUAUUUCCUGGAAAAUGAAAUGGAGUUAUCGCAAAGUAACCAGUGGAAAGUCAACACUUGAAAUUGAAGCCUUGAGGCCAUUAUGGCACAGGUUAAUCGUUAAAGUUUGUGAGUCCUAGAAAUAACUGGGUGACAAGAACUUGAAAUUCAUCAUGAUGACUUUCUGAUUGAGAUUUUUUUAUAAAUUGUACUCAUGAGGUCGUGAACUACAAAAAUACUCCAGUUUGAUGAGUCAUCUUUGGUAAAUCUACAAAUGAUGGAGAUGAGUUAGAGCCAACCCAUUCUUCAGCAUGUAGCUAAGAUGAUUGAUAAUCAAAUUUCUGAUUUGAUUCAGAACAAAUAUUGAGGAACUCACAUACGAUCAGUGGAUUUAUUGCUGUUUGUCAAGAAUUUGAUUACCACGAAAAAUAUAAGCAAAUGAAUAUAUUAAUUUGAAUUUAUUAAAUAAACAAAAUAUAAAAUAAG